GCGCACAUAGCUCAGCGGUAGAGCCCUGGUUUUACACACCAGUGGUCGUAGGUUCGAUCCCUACUGUGCGCA
rnacentral:tRNA from 1 species